GCCUGCCUAGCUCAAUCGGAUAGAGCGUGAGACUUUUACGGAUGGGUAGCACCCACCUCGUUAGGGAUCUCAAGGCUGCGGGUUCGACCCCCGCGGUGGGCU